GAGUUUGAUCCUGGCUCAGAUUGAACGCUGGCGGCAUGCCUUACACAUGCAGGUCGAACGGCAGCACGGGAGCUUGCUCCUGGUGGCGAGUGGCGAACGGGUGAGUAAUGCAUCGGAACGUAUCCUGGAGUGGGGGAUAACGUAGCGAAAGUUACGCUAAUACCGCAUAUUCUGUGAGCAGGAAAGCGGGGGACCUUCGGGCCUCGCGCUCUUGGAGCGGCCGAUGUCGGAUUAGCUAGUUGGUGAGGUAAAGGCUCACCAAGGCGACGAUCCGUAGCAGGUCUGAGAGGAUGAUCUGCCACACUGGAACUGAGACACGGUCCAGACUCCUACGGGAGGCAGCAGUGGGAAUUUUGGACAAUGGGGGCAACCCUGAUCCAGCCAUGCCGCGUGAGUGAAGAAGGCCUCGGUU
rnacentral:rRNA from 1 species